UGCAGUCGAGCGGACAGAUGGGAGCUUGCUCCCUGAUGUUAGCGGCGGACGGGUGAGUAACACGUGGGUAACCUGCCUGUAAGACUGGGAUAACUCCGGGAAACCGGGGCUAAUACCGGAUGGUUGUCUGAACCGCAUGGUUCAGACAUAAAAGGUGGCUUCGGCUACCACUUACAGAUGGACCCGCGGCGCAUUAGCUAGUUGGUGAGGUAACGGCUCACCAAGGCGACGAUGCGUAGCCGACCUGAGAGGGUGAUCGGCCACACUGGGACUGAGACACGGCCCAGACUCCUACGGGAGGCAGCAGUAGGGAAUCUUCCGCAAUGGACGAAAGUCUGACGGAGCAACGCCGCGUGAGUGAUGAAGGUUUUCGGAUCGUAAAGCUCUGUUGUUAGGGAAGAACAAGUGCCGUUCAAAUAGGGCGGCACCUUGACGGUACCUAACCAGAAAGCCACGGCUAACUACGUGCCAGCAGCCGCGGUAAUACGUAGGUGGCAAGCGUUGUCCGGAAUUAUUGGGCGUAAAGGGCUCGCAGGCGGUUUCUUAAGUCUGAUGUGAAAGCCCCCGGCUCAACCGGGGAGGGUCAUUGGAAACUGGGGAACUUGAGUGCAGAAGAGGAGAGUGGAAUUCCACGUGUAGCGGUGAAAUGCGUAGAGAUGUGGAGGAACACCAGUGGCGAAGGCGACUCUCUGGUCUGUAACUGACGCUGAGGAGCGAAAGCGUGGGGAGCGAACAGGAUUAGAUACCCUGGUAGUCCACGCCGUAAACGAUGAGUGCUAAGUGUUAGGGGGUUUCCGCCCCUUAGUGCUGCAGCUAACGCAUUAAGCACUCCGCCUGGGGAGUACGGUCGCAAGACUGAAACUCAAA
rnacentral:rRNA from 1 species